rnacentral:rRNA from 1 species
AGCUAGUUGCAUCAUAGUAGAUAUGAUGCAAGAUCGACUAUGUUGAAUAAAAUUCUAGGUAGAAUUAUGAUAAUGACAUUGUCUGCCUAUGUGUCUUGACCAAAUUACGUGCCAGCAGUCGCGGUAAUACGUAGAAGACUAGUGUUAUUCAUGUUUAAUCGGUUUAAAGGGUACCUAGACGGUAGAUCAAGCUUUCUAAUAAAGGAAAAGGACUAGUUUACUAGAGUUACUUAUGAGGGGGUAUUAAAGUACUGCUGGUGUAGAGAUGAAAUUCUGUCAUACCUCUUUUCAAAAGAAAAACCAUGGCACAGGUAUAGGCGAAGGCAUCCCCUUAUGUGAUAACUGACGUUGAGGGACGAAGGCUUUGUGUAGCGAACAGGAUUAGAUACCCCAGUAGUCGAAGCAGAAAAUGAUGAAUGUCAUAGAUUAGAUAUAUAAGUUUAUUCUAUAAAUGAAAGUGUAAGCAUUCCACCUCAUGAGUAAUUUGGCAACAUUGGAACUGAAAUCAUUAGACCGUUUCUGAAACCAGUAGUGAAGUAUGUUGUUUAAUUUGAUGUCCCGCAAAAAACCUUACCACAAUUUGAAUAUUUAUAUUGUUUAUUGUUUUAUUAUUAAUUUUCUUGAAGAAAAUUAAGAAAAAAGCAAUAAGAUAUAAUUACAAGCGUUGCACGGCUGUCUUCAGUUAAUGUCGCGAGACUUUGGUUAGUUCCAUUAAAUUAACGUAAACCCUUACUUUAUUUUUAUAUAGAGUAGUUCCCCGCUAUA